rnacentral:lncRNA from 1 species
GAUAAGAAUUGUGUCACGGGCCCUGGAGCAAUACAUUAAGAAAAGCCAGAGGCUGAGGACCAGGAGAUGUCUGUGGUGUCUGAUGUCCCUGUCCUCAGUCAGUUCCUGACCAUAAGGAGAGGGCAUAGAUUUGUACAGAGCACCAGGAUGAUGAAGGGUUUUCCUCAAAGUAUUUCAGAAAACACUAAAUGUGAGAGAUUCUUGAGCUGACAUGGUGACUCAGUUUUCAUGACAGAAGUGUGAGAUGCGAACAAGGAUAAAGCCAGGGAGCAGUCAGUCAGCACCGCUUUGAACAGGCCACUGAUGCAGCUGAAAUGGUCCUUUUGGCCCGUCUUCACUGGAGAGCAG